rnacentral:tRNA from 1 species
GAUGGUAUAACUCAGUGGUAGAGCGCCUGCUUAGCAUGCACAAGGUCCUGGGUUCAAUCCCCAGUACCUCUG